rnacentral:rRNA from 1 species
GUGAGGAAUAUUGGUCAAUGGGCGAAAGCCUGAACCAGCCAUGUCGCGUGAAGGAUGAAGGUCCUAUGGAUUGUAAACUUCUUUUGCAGGAGGGUAAAGUGAGCUACGUGUAGUUCAUUGCAAGUACCCUGCGAAUAAGCAUCGGCUAACUCCGUGCCAGCAGCCGCGGUAAUACGGAGGAUGCGAGCGUUAUCCGGAUUUAUUGGGUUUAAAGGGUGCGUAGGCGGACUAAUUAGUCAGCGGUGAAAUUUUGCGGCUCAACCGUAAAACUGCCGUAGAAACUGUUAGUCUUGAGUGCGGUAGAGGUAGGCGGAAUGUGUGGUGUAGCGGUGAAAUGCUUAGAUAUCACACAGAACACCGAUUGCGUAGGCAGCUUACUGGAGCGCAACUGACGCUGAGGCACGAAAGCGUGGGGAUCGAACAGGAUUAGAAACCCUGGUAGUCC